AUUGAACGCUGGCGGCAUGCCUUACACAUGCAAGUCGAACGGCAGCAUAGGAGCUUGCUCCUGAUGGCGAGUGGCGAACGGGUGAGUAAUAUAUCGGAACGUGCCCUAGAGUGGGGGAUAACUAGUCGAAAGACUAGCUAAUACCGCAUACGACCUACGGAUGAAAGUGGGGGAUCGCAAGAACUCAUGCUCCUGGAGCGGCCGAUAUCUGAUUAGCUAGUUGGUGGGGUAAAAGCUCACCAAGGCGACGAUCAGUAGCUGGUCUGAGAGGACGACCAGCCACACUGGGACUGAGACACGGCCCAGACUCCUACGGGAGGCAGCAGUGGGGAAUUUUGGACAAUGGGGGCAACCCUGAUCCAGCAAUGCCGCGUGAGUGAAGAAGGCCUUCGGGUUGUAAAGCUCUUUUGUCAGGGAAGAAACGGUUCUGGAUAAUACCUGGGACUAAUGACGGUACCUGAAGAAUAAGCACCGGCUAACUACGUGCCAGCCGCCGCAGUAA
rnacentral:rRNA from 1 species